rnacentral:rRNA from 1 species
AGAGUUUGAUCCUGGCUCAGGAUGAACGCUAGCGGCAGGCUUAAUACAUGCAAGUCGAACGGUAAGGUCUCGCUUGCGAGAUACACGAGUGGCGCACGGGUGCGUAACGCGUAUGCAACCUACCUUCAACUGGGGAAUAGCCCCGAGAAAUCGGGAUUAAUACCCCAUAAUAUUCACUGAUCGCAUGAUUAGUGAAUUAAAGUUCCGGCGGUUGAAGAUGGGCAUGCGUAACAUUAGCUAGUUGGUGAGGUAAAGGCUCACCAAGGCUACGAUGUUUAGGGGUCCUGAGAGGGUUCCCCCCCACACUGGUACUGAGACACGGACCAGACUCCUACGGGAGGCAGCAGUAAGGAAUAUUGGGCAAUGGACGCAAGUCUGACCCAGCCAUGCCGCGUGCAGGAUGACUGCCCUACGGGUUGUAAACUGCUUUUAUACAGGAAAAAUUCUCCGGUCGUGCACCGGAGUUGAUGGUACUGUUGAAUAAGCAUCGCUAACU